rnacentral:rRNA from 1 species
GAUGAACGCUGGCGGCGUGCCUAAUACAUGCGAGUCGAGCGAAUGGAUUAAGAGCUUGCUCUUAUGAAGUUAGCGGCGGACGGGUGAGUAACACGUGGGUAACCUGCCCAUAAGACUGGGAUAACUCCGGGAAACCGGGGCUAAUACCGGAUAACAUUUUGAACCGCAUGGUUCGAAAUUGAAAGGCGGCUUCGGCUGUCACUUAUGGAUGGACCCGCGUCGCAUUAGCUAGUUGGUGAGGUAACGGCUCACCAAGGCAACGAUGCGUAGCCGACCUGAGAGGGUGAUCGGCCACACUGGGACUGAGACACGGCCCAGACUCCUACGGGAGGCAGCAGUAGGGAAUCUUCCGCAAUGGACGAAAGUCUGACGGAGCAACGCCGCGUGAGUGAUGAAGGCUUUCGGGUCGUAAAACUCUGUUGUUAGGGAAGAACAAGUACUAGUUGAAUAAGCUGGCACCUUGACGGUACCUAACCAGAAAGCCACGGCUAACUACGUGCCAGCAGCCGCCGUAA